rnacentral:rRNA from 1 species
CCUACGGGUGGCAGCAGUGGGGAAUAUUGCACAAUGGGGGAAACCCUGAUGCAGCGACGCCGCGUGAGCGAUGAAGCAUUUCGGUAUGUAAAGCUCUAUCAGCAGGGAAGAAAAUGACGGUACCUGAAUAAGAAGCCCCGGCUAACUACGUGCCAGCAGCCGCGGUCAUACGUAGGGGGCAAGCGUUAUCCGGAUUUACUGGGUGUAAAGGGGGCGGAGACGGCUUGGCAAGCCAGCGGUGAAAGGCUGGGGCUCAACCCCGGGACUGCUGUUGGAACUGUCAUGCUAGAGUGUCGGAGAGGCAGGCGGAAUUCCUGGUGUAGCGGUGAAAUGCGUAGAUAUUAGGAGGAACACCAGUGGCGAAGGCGGCCUGCUGGACGAUGACUGACGUUGAGGCUCGAAAGCGUGGGGAGCAAACAGGAUUAGAUACCCUGGUAGUC